rnacentral:rRNA from 1 species
GACGAACGCUGGCGGCGUGCUUAACACAUGCAAGUCGAACGGUAAGGCCCUUCGGGGUACACGAGUGGCGAACGGGUGAACAACACGUGGGUGAUCUGCCCUGCACUUCGGGAUAAGCCCGGGAAACUGGGUCUAAUACCGGAUAGGACUCCUGGCUUCAUGGUUGGGGGUGGAAAGCUUUUGCGGUGUGGGAUGGGCCCGCGGCCUAUCAGCUUGUUGGUGGGGUAAUGGCCUACCAAGGCGACGACGGGUAGCCGGCCUGAGAGGGUGACCGGUCACACUGGGACUGAGAUACGGCCCAGACUCCUACGGGAGGCAGCAGUGGGGAAUAUUGCACAAUGGGCGCAAGCCUGAUGCAGCGACGCCGCGUGAGGGAUGACGGCCUUCGGGUUGUAAACCUCUUUCAGCUAUGACGAAGCGCAAGUGACGGUAGUAGCAGAAGAAGGACCGGCCAACUACGUGCCAGCAGCCGCCGUAA